rnacentral:rRNA from 1 species
AUUGAACGCUGGCGGCAUGCCUUACACAUGCAAGUCGAACGGCAGCACGGGUGCUUGCACCUGGUGGCGAGUGGCGAACGGGUGAGUAAUACAUCGGAACGUACCUUAUCGUGGGGGAUAGCGCAGCGAAAGCUGUGCUAAUACCGCAUACGCCCUGAGGGGGAAAGCGGGGGAUCGCAAGACCUCGCGCGAUUAGAGCGGCCGAUGCCUGAUUAGCUUGUUGGGGGGGUAAAAGCCCACCAAGGCGACGAUCAGUAGCUGGUCUGAGAGGACGAUCAGCCACACUGGGACUGAGACACGGCCCAGACUCCUACGGGAGGCAGCAGUGGGGAAUUUUGGACAAUGGGGGCAACCCUGAUCCAGCAAUGCCGCGUGAGUGAAGAAGGCCUUCGGGUUGUAAAGCUCUUUUGUCAGGGAAGAAACACCGGCUCUAACACAGUCCGGGAAUGACGGUACCUGAAGAAUAAGCACCGGCUAACUACGUGCCAGCAGCCGCCGUAA